rnacentral:lncRNA from 1 species
UGUGGCCCCAGAAGUCUUGUCCGCCAGGUGGAGGCGGGGGCACAGGGGUGUGGGCUCUGAUUGGUCCAGGCCUGCGUCAAUCACUGUGGUCUGGCGGGUACACGAACCGAGAUUGGCCACUCUCGGGUCGCAGGGCAGCCUUGCGCCAGGAAGGAACCUCUAGGAUGAAUGAAGCGGGUGAGUUUGGGGCGCCGCUGCCUGCGGCGCGGGGCGCGCUCUUCGGGACGGGGACGCCGGAGAUGGCCUCCGCAGAGCCGAGACCGUGACGCGGAGCAAGGAAUCUGCUUCCUGCUGUCAGGGAGAGGGGGCUUCUGAGAAGAAAGGGAAGAGAGACGAGAGGGGCUCGGGGCUUCUGAGAAGAAAGGGAAGAGAGACGAGAGGGGCUCGGGGCCUCUGCAAGUGUCCAAGUUGCCACUGUCCAGGCUGGGCUCGAACUGGCAGUCCUCUAGCCCCAGCCUCCCAGAGCGCCAAGCUGGUUCUGCGUGUUCGGGGGCGGGCGAAGGAGCAGGCCCGCCUGCCUACGCCCUGUAGACCUCGGAGCAGGAGCCAGAGCGGAGCCGGGCCUCCCAGAAUUCGAAGAUCACAAGGAAGCAGCAUCAAGCCCGUCUGGAACCCCAGCACUCAGGAGGCUGAGGCAGGAGGAUCCCAAAUUGAAGCCCAGCCUGGGCAAUUCAGCGACUUAAUGAGACCUUGUUUCAAAUUUGAAAAAAAAAGCGCUGGAUAUGUAGCUCAGUGCAAAGGCCCUGGGUUCAGUUUCCAGGAACAAAACAAAAACCCAAAAGCAAAUCCUAAAUUUUUACAGACCCAGACACAAAAAGCCUGUAAAUUGGGCCCGGGCUUUGUAGGAAGGGAUGAAUGUUGUCUGUAAAUUGAACCCCACAGACUCCACCCCAGCAACCCAGUUUUAGGUCACAAGGUCUCCCCCUUCUCCAGGGCCCCUCUCUUCUCUCUGAAUGUGUACUUUAAAUUCUGCCUAAUACAACUCUUUAUGCCUCUCACGUGCCUUUUUGUUGUUUAUAUUUUUUACUUUUUGAGAUGGUCUCACUAUGUGGUUCAGGCUGGCCUUGAACUCACCCACCGUGAAGCCCUCACUGGCCUGGAACUCGAAGUGAUCCUCCUGCCUCAGCCUCCAGAGCGCUGGGAUUACAGGCUGUGCACCUGGCUGUCUCUCACUCUAGCGUCUUGAUGGAUUUUUUUUUCCUGUGAUGGAAGUUAGCGAACCACAACAUGCCCCAUGGUGGGGUGGGUUGAGGUCCCCCUCGGGUUUCGGGGACCCCCUUGGACGCUGCCUGGUGACGAUACCUACAUUGCUGGAAUAUCGACCGCGACCCUGAUGCCCUCACCAGGCUGAGGGGCGAGGGGCAGCAGGGUUUGGGGACCGAGGCCCCGUCCUCCCUGCUCCGCUGCCCCUCGGGGCCCUGGAGGCUGCACAGCCCGACUCUCCGCCCUCACAGGCAGCCAGGCGGCUCCCGGCGGAAUUAGCAAGGCCUGACCUAAAUACAGCACAACCCGGAGCCCAGCAGCGCGGGAGCCAGCCGUGUGGGGACCCACACCAUGAG